rnacentral:rRNA from 1 species
CAGUCGCCGCGGGAAUACAGAGGGUGCAAGCGUUAAUCGGAAUUACUGGGCGUAAAGCGCGCGUAGGUGGUUCGUUAAGUUGGAUGUGAAAUCCCCGGGCUCAACCUGGGAACUGCAUCCAAAACUGGCGAGCUAGAGUAGGGCAGAGGGUGGUGGAAUUUCCUGUGUAGCGGUGAAAUGCGUAGAUAUAGGAAGGAACACCAGUGGCGAAGGCGACCACCUGGGCUCAUACUGACACUGAGGUGCGAAAGCGUGGGGAGCAAACAGGAUUAGAUACCCCAGUAGUCCCUGUCUCUUAUAA